GGAACCAACAGUCUGUAAGUACCCUCUUACAUAUAUAUAUACCCUUUCCUCCUUUCCCAAUGCAAGACCAAGAUUUCCCCUCUCUCUCUUUCCCCUCUGAUGAGUAUGCACAUGUACUAGUUUAGCCCAUGUGUGUGUGUGGCUUACCGUAUUAAAAAAAAAAGGAAUUUUUUGUUAGGUUCAAGGAGAAAGAAAUUCCGUG
rnacentral:misc_RNA from 1 species